rnacentral:lncRNA from 1 species
UUCCCAUGGACCACACAGCUGACCACCUGCUACCCUGGUGAUCUUAACACUUGCUUCUCUCUCCUGCUCCCUCGUUUCAAGCACGCCGACCUCAGGUGUUGCUUCUAACCUGCCAGGUAUCUUCCCACCUUGAGACCAUUGCAUGGGCUUCGUUUCCUGCCUGGGACUCCCUUCCUUUAGGUUUUUGUUCUGUUUUGUCUGGGGGGGAACAAUGCGCCAAUCAGUAGGUAAUGAGUUGCUCAAGAAAAGAGUUGACUGGGGCCAGAGAGGAGAAGAACCUUUCAGAAGCGCAUGUUUUGGGUAACAUAAUUUCAUUCAGCCACAAGCCUCACAUUGACCAGGCGAUACGGUAAAUGCCAUCCCCUUGGCAUUAGAGACCAGGCAAUACGGUAAACUCCCUCCCCUUGGUAAAGAGGAGUUGCUUUAGUGAAAGUCAAAGUGCGGGGAAUUGAACACACAAGGAGCUGGCUGCUCUCUUGCUUUUGUUUCUCUUCCCCUUAAAUUCUUAGCAAACCAGCUUUCAUUCGAACGACGUUUCCAUCCCUCGCCAAUGGUCGGGGAGAAGUUCUGGAUCUUUCCCUGCCUUCUCUGCCCACCAGACCAGAGCAUCAAGCCUGGAAAAGAAUGGAGGGGGUGCUGGGGGCGGGGAGGAGGAGGGAGGAAGGAGGUUGCAAUUAAAAAAGGAGAGAGAAAGAGCCUCGAAGGAAACUGUGGGUCAGACCAGCUUCAGAAGUCAGCAGGACCACUUCCCGCAGCGCCCCCUCCCGCUGCAGCUAUCACACACGGAGAACAAUAUUCAGUAGUCAUUUUGAUCCGUGGCCAAGGCUUCAAAACGUGUCUUUGAAACACCAGGCAGCAUCUGGAGCAAAAGACAUCCAGCCCCCGAAGGCCCCCCAGGCUGAAGGAACUCGGCCCUGGAGUCGAACGGCCUAACCUGCCAUGUCACAGCGUUGCUUGCUUCUCCAGGGUGAGCCUCCAACGCAGCAUCGGGCCUCCGAUUCUGCAGGACCCCGCGUCUGUGUGGGCAGCCUCUGCCCUGCAGAGGAGAAGACGGUCUGUGCAUUUCUGCUUUGGGCUUCUGGGUUUAAUUACGGGAAUACGAGGUGUCAGGUACAAAUUCAAGGACUGCUUAGCACACCUGCGGCCUCCUCGCGUCCUCUCCCCACCUCGCCGCCGCCGCCCCCCUCACCUCCUGCCAAAGGCAGAGCUCCUAGGGCCCCUGAUGUCAAUGAGGCAGGCAGCCCAGGGCACCGAGGGAGCCCCAUGGAGCCAAGAGCAGCCUGUGUUCUUGGUCUGGGAUUUCUAUGAUGAGACCUGGUUCUCAGGAUCAAGAACAAAGGCCCAGACUCCAGCCGUCAUAUCUGAUCUCGAGGUAUCAGGCUGGAAGAUGAGAAAAAAAGCAAAAAAAGCAAAGGUCACUUGUCAGCGAUUGCCAAGAUCCCUUCACUCCCGGCCAUGUGGCAUCCUUAACCCACUGAUCAAGACCAGGGAUAGAACUCAAAUCUUCGUGGAUCCUAGUCGGGUUCUUCCCUCACUGAGCCUCGACAGGAACGCCUGAAGUUUUCUUAACUAAGAAUGAGAGAGAAGAGAAACUGAGUUCUCUGCCAGGAUUGAUCAUCUUGAGUGGCCAACCAAAGUUCUUUAUUUGACCAAAAUAAGAGUGGGAACAUCUGUUGUGCACCAAACACAUUCACAUGGCUCCUCGAGGGAGGAAAACAAAGUUUUAACACUUUGCCACCUCCCGGCAAAGUUGAGAGUCUAUGGCCCUCUGUGUCUGCCUCCCGGCAAAGUUCAGAGUCUGUGGCCCUCUGUGUCUGCCUCCCGGCAAAGUUGAGAGUCUAUGGCCCUCUGUGUCUGCCUCCAGGUGCUGUUUCUUAUAACCUUGCAGUUUGAGGCAAAAGAAAGUUAUGCAGAGGGUGACUUACCCGAUAUCAAGACCUGUUAUAAUUCUAGCACGGGGACAGACAGACAGAUCAAUGGGGCCAAAGAUAGCGCCUAAAAGAGACCUCAGCGUUUAUGAGACUUUGUGAUAUGGUCCAGGAGAUAUGAUAAUUAAAUGGGGGAAAAGCUGGACUAAUCAAUAAGUGUUUUAGAGAUAUAUCUCUCUCUGCCUCAGAGUGUGCACAAAAAUCAGCUCACGUGGCAUCAAAACUCUCAAUGUCGAAAACGGAAAACAGCUCCACAACGGGAGAAUAUCUUUAUGACACUGGAGGUCAGACAGGCUUUCCCUUUUUUAUUAUGAAAAUUCAUCUUUCAUUUAUGGCGAGAAUGAUUGCAGUAGGUGACAGGUUUAGCUAUGAAAAAUAUUAACUAUGGGUAUUUUCGAGCAUAUACAAAAGGAGAGGGAAGUGCCUCAUGAACACCACAUAUGGCCCCUAAACUUCAGUCUUCUAAAGACUUUGUUCUGUUUUUGUACCCUCUCUUCCUCCCUCCUUGCUUGUUUUUUUUCCCUCCUGUUUGCUGGAGAAUUUAAAACUAAAUCUCAGACAAUGCACGUUUCACCUUUAACAUGCUCCUACCAGAAAAGGACUUCAAAAACAAACUAACUAACUAACUAACUACAGUACCACCCCAUGAAAUGAAUGCCUCAUUAGCAUCUAAAACUCUGUAUGUGUUGAUGUUUCACCAAAUGUCCUUUGAUAGUUUGUUCAGAUCAGAAUAUAAAAAAAAAGUCCCUCAAGAAUCCCCGGAUGAUGCGCUGUUAACUCGACACAGCUGCCCUUUCACACCUCUUCCCCCACUCCCACCCCCCACCGACCCCCCCUCUUAUCUGUUUUGGUGAAGAAAAGGAGGACCCUCGUUCUGCAGAAUGUUGCAUCUUCCGAUUUGGCUGACAGCUUCCUGUCUCCCCUUCUUUCUUAUAAACAGACGGUUUGGGCUGGAAGUUUGAUGAGAUUCAGUUUGGGGUUUUGUUGGGGGUGGGGGGUGUCUGGGUGCGUUUUGCACAACGUUUUGAAAGACAGUUCGCAGGCUGUGUGCUCCUCCCUGCAUCCUGGUGGCUUUUUCCAUUAGGCAUUUUAUGACGUUAACAUGGAUUGUCAAUCUGAUCCGUCCGUCGAGUUUUCACCAACUUUCCGCCUCGUGACUGUGGCAGCUGAUGAUGAUAACGGCCCUGGACGCAUUAUUUUCCGUGUUCUGCAAAGGGACGCUUUUCUAGCUCAAUUAUCCUUCUGCAUUUAUGAGCUUAAUUCUUCUGUAAAGAAUUCCCUUAUUGACUAUGUAGUUACCUUGAAGGGUGGUUCUUACUGAGGAGGCAGGAUAAGUGCCUGGGUGCCUUAGCAACCCGCCAAAGGGAUCAAUGACGUUUAUUUGUUCGCAUUAUAAAAGGCUCAUGGAUUUUUAUAUAUUUGACUGGUUUUUAUCUUCCGUAAUCAUUAUUAAUCAUGAUGCUCAAACUGUCCCCACUUUGACCUGAGAGUUCCUUCCCAUGGCUUCCGGUGUUCUUUUGACCUGUUUCCGUUACACGUGAGAGCCUCCUGGCUUUUCAGGUACAAGAAGGCCCAAGGUCAUCUUUUACAUUUGCAGUCCUGGAUAUGGAAUCAGUAAUUUCUCAAGGGGUACGAUGCCUGUUAGUGAAACAUGAUACUUGGAGAACAGAAUGCGUCUGCUAGAAAAGAAGGGAUGCCUUC